UGCUCGCUUCCGCAGCACAUAUACUAAAAUUG
rnacentral:snRNA from 1 species